rnacentral:misc_RNA from 1 species
AGUGACUAUUCUUGUUGGUUUGUAAAGUAUCGAGUGAAUCUUGAAUUUUUGACCAAUUUGUAUCCGAUUAUGGUGAAUCAAGAAGUGUAUCCUCCUGAAGAUUACAACUUUCCAUAUGCGUUCAGUACCCUCUGUUUUCUAACAGAUGAAGAAGACAGAGCAAGGGUAUUGAUAUCACUUCCGGGGACGAUUGUUGUGUUUGAUAUACAUAACGGGACGGUGAAAGAGUUAGCUGACAUACAGCCUCAUUCUUUCAGAAAUUUCAUUGGUGACAGCAGGUCAAGCAUUU